rnacentral:ncRNA from 1 species
CCUCCGCUCUCCCCGCACAGGAGAGCGGAACGAGGUACCGCGCUCUCUGCCCUGACUGCGCCGGUGCCUCUCCCCCGGCCGGGGGCACCGCACACCGCCGGCCGAGCCGGCCGCCCGCGAGGGCGGCCCUACUCCGGGCUGCGGUGCUGGUCGGGCUGAGGGUCCCGGCCCGGCGC